rnacentral:rRNA from 1 species
UACGGAGGGUGCAAGCGUUAAUCGGAAUUACUGGGCGUAAAGCGCGCGUAGGCGGUUUUGAUAAGUCGAAUUGUGAAAUCCCCGGGCUCAACCUGGGAAUUGCAGUCGAGACUGUCAGACGUAGAGUGUGGGAGAGGGUGGUGGAAUUCCCGGUGUAGCGGUGAAAUGCGUAGAUAUCGAGAGGAACACCAGUGGCGAAGGCGAGUCCCUGGACAACACCUGACACUGGAGGCACGAAAGCCUAGGGGAGCAAACAGG